rnacentral:tRNA from 1 species
GGCAUUGUAGCUUAGCUGGUUAAAGCAGCUGCCUUGUAAACAGGGGAUCCUGGGUUCAAACCCUAGCAGUGCCU